UACAGAGGUGGCAAGCGUUGUUCGGAAUUACUGGGCGUAAAGGGCGCGUAGGCGGUCUUGCAAGUCCCGUGUGAAAUCCCUCGGCUCAACUGAGGAAUGGCACGGGAAACUGCUUGGCUUGAGUUCGGGAGAGGGAAGCGGAAUUCCGGGUGUAGCGGUGAAAUGCGUAGAUAUCAGGAGGAACACCAAUUGCGAAGGCAGCUCGCUGGUACGACACUGACACUGAGACGCGAAAGCGUGGGGAGCAAACAGG
rnacentral:rRNA from 1 species